UACGUAGGGGGCGAGCGUUGUCCGGAGUUACUGGGCGUAAAGGGCAUGCAGGCGGUCGGACGCGUUUCGGGUGACAGCGGGUGGCUUAACUACCCGAGUGGUCGAAAGACGGUUUGACUUGAGGACGCGAGAGGGACACGGAAUUCCGGGUGGAGUGGUGAAAUGCGUAGAGAUCCGGAGGAACACCGAAGGCGAAGGCAGUGUCCUGGCGCGUAACUGACGCUGAGAAGCGAAAGCAUGGGGAGCGAACAGG
rnacentral:rRNA from 1 species